GACGAACGCUGGCGGCGUGCUUAACACAUGCAAGUCGAGCGGUAAGGCUCCUUCGGGAGUACACGAGCGGCGAACGGGUGAGUAACACGUGAGUAAUCUGCCCUUCACUUCGGGAUAACCACCGGAAACGGUGGCUAAUACCGAAUACGACCAGUCUUCGCAUGAGGUGCUGGUGGAAAGUCUUUUCGGUGAAGGAUGUGCUCGCGGCCUAUCAGCUUGUUGGUGGGGUAAUGGCCUACCAAGGCUUCGACGGGUAGCCGGCCUGAGAGGGUGACCGGCCACACUGGGACUGAGACACGGCCCAGACUCCUACGGGAGGCAGCAGUGGGGAAUAUUGGACAAUGGGCGAAAGCCUGAUCCAGCAACGCCGCGUGAGGGAUGACGGCCGUCGGGUUGUAAACCUCUUUCAGUACCGACGAAGCGCCCUGUCGGGUGGUGACGGUAGGUACAGAAGAAGGACCGGCCAACUACGUG
rnacentral:rRNA from 1 species